rnacentral:lncRNA from 1 species
AGUUUUGUGAUGCUAGGCUGUAAAACUUGUAACUCCUCUUCGUCUCUCAUCAAGUUUGUUGCAACCCAAUAUCCCGAUUUGACAGUAUAUUUUCCAGUCUUUGUGUAACUCCAGCAAAAUGUAUCACGUCGAUGAGUAGGACUAAUGGUCAGACUCAGAAUCAUCGGGAUGUCUUCUUGAGCUACAUAUUGUUCCAAUAGUCGAGUAUCCCACUCUUUGGUAACAGGAUUAAUAAGGCUGCUGACAAGCAUCUUAGGAUUCACCGCUGGAGCUCGGGCAUGAGCCGGCCUAGCUGGCAUCGUAGGGAUCCAAGGAUCUUCCCACACAUUAAUUUCGUACCCUGAGUGCACCUUACUUCUAAUUCCCAAAAGUAAUAACUUCCUCGCGGCAGUUAUACUUGUCCAUACAUAAGAUGGAGAAUCCACAGUG